rnacentral:rRNA from 1 species
GAUGAACGCUAGCGGGAGGCCUAACACAUGCAAGCCGAGCGGUAUUGUUUCUUCGGAAAUGAGAGAGCGGCGUACGGGUGCGGAACACGUGUGCAACCUGCCUUUAUCUGGGGGAUAGCCUUUCGAAAGGAAGAUUAAUACUCCAUAAUAUAUUGAACGGCAUCGUUUAAUAUUGAAAGCUCCGGCGGAUAGAGAUGGGCACGCGCAAGAUUAGCUAGGUUGGUGAGGUAACGGCUCACCAAGGCGAUGAUCUUUUAGGGGGCCUGAGAGGGGUGAUCCCCCACACUGGGUACUGAGACACGGGGACCAGGACUCCUACGGGGGAGGGCAGCAGGUGGAGGGAAUAUUGGUCAAUGGGUGCAAGCCUGAACCAGCCAUCCCGCGUGAAGGACGACUGCCCUAUGGGUUGUAAAACUUCUUUUGUAUAGGGAUAAACCUACCCUCGUGAGGGUAGCUGAAGGUACUAUACGAAUAAGCACCGGCUAACUCCGUGCCAGCAGCCGCGGUAAU